rnacentral:rRNA from 1 species
AUACGGAGGGUGCAAGCGUUAUCCGGAAUCAUUGGGUUUAAAGGGUCCGUAGGCGGGAAUCUAAGUCAGUGGUGAAAUCUUGCAGCUCAACUGUAAAAUUGCCAUUGAUACUGGAUUUCUUGAAUUAGUGUGAAGUGGUUAGAAUGUGUAGUGUAGCGGUGAAAUGCAUAGAUAUUACACAGAAUACCAAUUGCGAAGGCAGAUCACUAACACUAUAUUGACGCUAAGGGACGAAAGCGUGGGGAGCGAACAGGAUUAGAAACCCUAGUAGUCC